GGUGAACGCUGGCGGCGUGCUUAAGACAUGCAAGUCGAACGGCAGUCUUCGGACUGUAGUGGCGCACGGGUGAGUAACGCGUAACUGACCUACCCCGAAGUCGCGGAUAACGAUUCGAAAGAAUCGCUAAUACGUGAUGUGCUGUCAGAUUGUGUUCUGCCAGUAAAGAUUGAUUGCUUUGGGAUGGGGUUGCGUUCCAUCAGCUAGUUGGUGGGGUAAAGGCCCACCAAGGCGACGACGGAUGGCCGGCCUGAGAGGGUGGCCGGCCACAGGGGCACUGAGACACGGGUCCCACUCCUACGGGAGGCAGCAGUUAGGAAUCUUCCACAAUGGGCGAAAGCCUGAUGGAGCGACGCCGCGUGAGGGAUGAAGGUCUUCGGAUCGUAAACCUCUGAAUCAGGGACGAAAGACACGUCGGUGGGAUGACGGUACCUGAGUAAUAGCACCGGCUAACUCCGUGCCAGCCGCCGCCGUAAAAC
rnacentral:rRNA from 1 species